UAGUUUGAAGUGUGUUAAAUUUGAUUUUCAUCCCUUGAUUUUUUGUGAAGAUAAUAUUUAAUUUGCUUUAAGAAGAUAAAUUUUAGAAUAUUAGAUAUAACCCUUAUCCCAAUUUUAUCCCCGAUUUAACCCUUAAAAACUUUAGAAUUUUAUCCCAUAUUAUAUCACAUAUCCUCAUCCCAUUUAAUUUGAACAUAUCAUUUAAUUUAAUUAGGAAACAUAGAUUAAAUAAGAUGUAAUUAGAUAUAUCCCUCAUCCCGUUUUUAUCCC
rnacentral:lncRNA from 1 species